UACCCAAAUGUCAUUUAAUCUUUUAUUUUUAAACAUGUCAUGUGGGAUAUUGAAAUUAAAGAGUUAUAAAUUAGGAAAAAGAUACUUUCGUUUUGAAACUGACUAAAAGUGUAAGUGAUGAUAUAUUAUCAAAUACUUAUUGAACAAAAUCACUAAUAUAAUUACUAUUAUGUUCUACAAUACUACUUAAGAAAAAACUGCUUGAAAGAAUUAUCUUUCAGUAAAGUUGUAAAUGUAAGUGUUGUUCCUUUAAGUAAUCUUCUACAUUUCUGAAUUCAGUCAAGUAUAUGCUUAAACGAGAGAAUGAGGGUAUCCAACAAAUAGUCAUUGAACAAAACACAUACACGUUGUGAUCUUUGUGAUAGAAAAGAGAUCAAAGUAAUAUCUAUUGAUAACUCAAUAUUCAAAUAUGAUCCUCAUGUAAAGUUGAGAUGCAUCUUAUAAGGGGGAUCAUGGGGUUCAAUGGUUCUGAUGAUGAAACAUUUAUGUAUUGCCAACUUUUAUGGGCAUUUUUUGUAUUUUUGAGUUAUAUCUCUUUUCUCUUCUCUACAAUAUCCUUCCAUUUAUUAGCCCUUUGUUUUUCUUUUUCUUCAUUUGUCCUUGAAUAAACCAACUGCUUUCUCUGUAUUUUAUUCCUUAUCUUCUCUUGAGUUUGUCCUGCAAGAUGUUGUCCCUUCCUCCACAACUCUCUCUGGCUAUCUUAUCUUUAUUGUUUUUAUGAAUAACAUGUAACUUGUAAGUAUUUAUAGCUUUGGGUGUACUCCUUCCUCCUUGAAUUUCAUAGAGCAUAUUUCAUGCUUCACAUAUCUCUAGAAUGUACAAAAUUUUCUGAUGCCUACUUCUUUGAGUCUUUUUUUUUUCUUGGUUAUGAUUUGAGAUUAUAUGGAUGCUCAUCAGAUUAGAUGGAUGUUGUCGGGAUUACACAAAUAGAGUUAGACUAGAUUUGUUUUCUAAGAAAACAGAGGACUGCUAUUGCUAUUGCAGUUCUCCUUCAUACUUUCAAGAAUAUCUUACUAUUUUGAGGCAAAGGUGUUAAUGAGAACCUGUUUGUGGCAAUGUUAGUAUCCAUGUUUGGCGUUGAAGGUUGUUCUGUCGAUGUGUCUUGUAAAAAAUGGAUUAAAGUGGUUUACAUCCAAUUCUGACAAGGUGAAUAAUAAGUAUUAUCUUGAGCCUGCUUCUUUGGAAGAGAUAGUCUGGUAAGGACUUUGGUUCCUUUAUUUUCAGUUGGGGUCUUUACCAAGAUACAAUUACCGAUGCACUAAAUUUUAUAUCUCUUUUGCAAGCAAAUUGUGACACCUCUAUGUUCAUGGUCCUAUAGGGACAACAGAGGAUACAAUUUCAAAAUGGAUAAGGCUAAGUAUAAUAUUUGUCAUGAAGUGUGGAAAAUUCUUGAAAUCAGGCAGAGACUAUUGAUAUGUCUAAAAUGUUUGAUUAUGAAAUUGUCUUAGUAUAAUAGAAGUAACUAAUUAUGCAUAUAUUGUACAUAAACUAUUGGAUAUUGUCUGUUUAAACUUUAGUAUGUAUUAGUAUUGAUUUUAUCUGUCUUGAUGUAAGGAUAAGUCAAUAUUAUUUAAAGGUAGUAUAUGAGCUUAUCCUUUUUGCA